UUUUUUUUUUUGUGAGGGCUCCUUGGAUGUUAUUUGUCGAUGAUAUUUUGCUAUCAUGUUUCAUGCCACAAAAUUCCAGAAUUUUGGAAGUUUUUCCUAAUGUUUUCGUAUUUUCUGUUCAUGGGGUGUGUGGGUACUCUCCCUUCUCCUACAAGUUUACUCCAAUACUGGCCAUAGUGACUAAGAAGAAAUUAGAAAACAGAGCAUUAACUGUUGCUUCGACAUAAUUUAAUUAACUUCCAACCGAUCCCACUAGCAUUGGAGUUGCCAGCCCAACAAGAACCAACAACUUCCAACUCAUGUGCAACUAGAAGAGCAUGCGAUUCCAAAACAAAACAAAACAAAAACACUACAUUUUAGAGAAAUUUUGCAUACCAUUAAACAAAUGUCAAAUUACAACACGAAAUCGUGAAAAUCACGAGAAAGAAAGAGAAAAGACGCAUGCCCAAGAACAUAUUCAAGAAAACUUCAUUGAACAAAAAACAGUUGUGUAAGCUUUCGACCACGAUUGACCCCGCAAAAAAUUAAUCCUCUAAAUUGACCGCAGACACAAAGCUUCUCAACUCAUAUUUAUUAAAACAAAUCAGACAAGAUUGGGGUUCAAUUGAACAUAGGAUAUCACUUUACCUCUUUCUUCAUCGACGCAUUUUCAACAAGUUUAGGCUUAGAUUUCACCAGCUCCAGUCGGCAGCCUACCGCACCGCUUGGCAUGAGCGAUUAGCUAUCUUACAAACUAAAGAAGCUGGCAUCGUACCCUACCGCUCGGCAUGAGCGAUUAGCUAUCCUACAAACUGAAAAGGCGACAACCCACCUUACUUUGCAUGCAUGCAUCGGGCUUGAUUCCGUGCAUCACAAGUAGUGGGAAGGGCCAUGACAACAUGGAAGGAGUGCCACACCAGCAACUACACCUUAGAGAAAGGCAGAAGGUGACAGGACAAUUGACAUCGACUAGCUCUUUAUGAGUCACGCUACAUAUCGAAAGCAAAGGUGGGUCGGUUGUGAUCACGCCAGUACGUCUUUUGCUCAUCAGUGCGGACAAUAAAUGACAGUAGGCAUUUAUCUACGGUCCCACGGAUGCAGGGCAUGGGCUUCCAUGCGUCGUGUUCAUCGUGCCUUCGAAUAUCUUUUUUUUUGAAACCGUACACCCGAAGGCAUACGUUACUUGUAUUCAUACGAGUAGGAAAACAGCACAGCCAUGCGAAUACACGUACGAAUACAGAUACAGAAAGACACAAAGGAUACAGGCGGUGUUGUCGCAGCCAGAAAACAAAGCCCCAUACAUAGGGAAAAUAGUCCAUGGAGACCUUCCUCGGAAUUGCAUGCUCCGCGCCCCAAAUCCCUGUUGACGAUGAAUCACUGGAGCAGACGCCAAAUCUUGAGCAAACCUGAAGCAGGAGAAGCUCCUUGCCACAUAGGCGUUGAUGAACCGCAUCAUCCACCGAUUCCAGCAAAUCGGAUCUAAAACCAAAUCAGACAUCGGCCGGAGGCGAUCCCCAUGCCGGGGACGCUCCCCAAGCUGCUCCUGCACCGGAUCCGGGGACGAUGCCAAAUCAGCUCGAAAGAGAUGACCGGAUCCCCCUCCCACAAGCCACCAGCCUUGACAGACUAAGCCGCCCUUGUCCUUGCGCGAAGAGCCGGCACCGCUGGAGAAGGCCGACGAGCCAGACCACCAUCGCGCCAAAAGGCAGGACCCCACAAGCCCCUCGCCAGCAUCUGCCACAAUGCCGACGAGCCGGAGCCAGAGCUGGGGGACAUUAUUUCGAUGGCGCACCGACGAUUGCUCCGUCAAUACAUCGGCGCCGAAAACCGAACCUGGGGACGACGCCCCGCACCUAUAUACAUGCCGCGCCCAGAUCCAAGGUUCCCCUAACCUCCAGCCGCCCUGGGGGCCGCUGGGGGCGAGGGAAACGCUCAGGAGGGCCGGCGGAAGAACGAGCACGCCGGAGUCGCCGCUGAUUCGGCUCCUCUGUACUGUAGACACGAGAAGGGUCGAGAAGUUGGUCUGCCUUCGAAUAUCUUUUAUUAAGGAAGUAGAUUUGUCUGUAGGUUUACGUAGCUAGUCAAGCCCGUAGGUGUGGCAUUUCUGAGCUCUUUAUGGGCUAGAGGUGAGAGGGAGAACAAUAUAAAUGUGAUAUAGAACAAUCGAGAAAGAGAUAAAAUUGUAAAGUGGACCCACACACGUGCAAAAAAGGGGACACGGACGACAAAGUGUGAUUGAGACUCGCCUGCAUCGAUCGACGGUUGUUUACUACUUAUUCAUUCUGUUCAUUUAAUUAAGCUUAUUAGCUAUAUUGGUUGGCAGACCUAUCGCCAAUCACGGUCAAGCUAAAUCCUUUAUAUCAUCAGAAGAUAAAAUAACCUAUUCAAAUCCAUUUUAUUCUCUCCAAAAAACUAUUGAUUUAGUGCCAUCUUCCAGAAAUCAAUACUCUUACCUUUUAUUUUCUAGAACUCGGGUAAAUUAACUUUAUUAUUUUAAAUAAGGGUUAGUGCAUCCACCAAAAGAGGUACAAAAAUGUUGGGAGGAAUGUCCACCCAAAUGCACAAAGCGGAUAUUGUGGUAUGAGUAGUGAGCUCAUGUGCAACUAUGUUGGCUUUGCUCAUACAAUUAUCAAUAUUUGCUUUGAAAUUUCUUCCAUUCAUUAAACAAGGAGCAAGAAAAAAGUUCUAUAUUCAAUAAGAUUAAAUGAUGGUCUAGGAAAAUCUGAGUCAUGUUCUAUAGCCCAAGCGGCAAAGAUUCACUCCAUGGUGGAAACUAUGUGCGCCACCACACACACACACACACAAACCCUUUUUCUGUUGUCAUCAAAACCAACACCUCUACUGGCUCUGGUGGUGGUAUCGGCAUUUCAUCCAGUCCACCGAGGCUAGUCAUAGUACCAUUGCAAUAGUGAACGAUCGAAGAUGUUGACUAGAGAGGGGGCGAAUAAGCGACUACCACUACCACAGAUCGACAUAUUACUGACCCCUCGUCACUAACUUGUCACAAGCCAUGCGACAGUGAUAUGCAUUAACACUAACUGGCGCCAGUGAUGAUGCUUUUGAGGACUGGCUGGGUAGAUAUAAUUGACAUGCCAUUUUUUUGGUCAGUUUGUGAUAACCUGUUCGCGCCAGUUCCAAAAUCUAAAAUCGAUCCAUUAACAACAAUGACUGUGUAAGGGCAUAUUUCUCCCUAAGUGAUUUUGGUGAUUGAUGACAAUGCAUUUGCGGACUAAUCGUGUGCAUUGAGCAUUUCAGAUAUCUCAUGUCUAGGCACAAGACGAUUCGGUGCCCCUCGGAGCCUAUCGAAGAUGGCGUUUCUCUAUGUUUCUUUUCGGUGGAUUUGAGUCGUAGGAAAGUCGUAUUAUUAAGAGGGGGUCCGCUUCGGAAAGGUUAGGAUGGAAUGAACACGUACACAUAUGUUCCUUUGCACCACCUUUCCUUCACUUCAUUGGAGCACCGGUCGUUUUCCCUUAUCUUUGCGAAGAUGAAGGCCUUCAAGUGCUACUACUCCGUGGCGUGUGGUAGUACUGCACAAAGGAGCAGUAGUACCGCAGCGGUCCCCGGUAGUACCGUGUUGGGCCCGCGGUAGUACCGCGUCGUGCGGUAGUACCGCUCCUAGCAAGCGGUAGUACUGUGGCCUCCAGCCCAGUACGCUGGCAUGCACGGAAGUAGGGGCAGAAGUAAUUUUUUACUUCCGCACCCUACGCGGUAGUACCGCUCCCUGUGAACUGUAGUACCGUGCCAGAUUUUCGCACAGACCGAAACUCGGCGGAAGUAGCCAUGGAUAUAAUUUUAUUAGUCCGUGCCUUCCCAGCCCAGAUUGAACCCUGCCUUGCGGUAGUACCGCAAGGGCGCGCGGUAGUACCACUCCAUCGGUUCUACCGCUCGUUGCUAUUCGCAACAGGGCCUCGCCUGGCCCCUGUCGCGCAAGCGGUAGUACCGCAUGUCCUUGCGGUAGUACCGUGUGUAUGUGCGCUAGUACCGCAUGUCGUGGGCUGAGUGAGUGGGUAACGGUUGGAUCUUUCCUCCCACUAUAUAAGAGGGGUCUUCUUCCCCAAGUUGACCAUCUCUUCCCUCCCCAAGCUCCAUUUUCGCCCGAUCUCUCUCCCUAGCCAAUCAAACUUGUUGAUUUUCUAGGGAUUGGUUGAGAAGGCCGCGAUCUGCACUUCCACCAAGAGAAAUUUGAUUCCCCCCACUAAUCCCUUGUGGAUCUUGUUACUCUUGGGUGUUUCAGCACCCUAGACGAUUGAGGUCACCGCGGAGUGCUCCUUUUCCAGCCAGAAUCCCAGCUGCCGACAUUCUCCAUCUUUAUGUAAACCUUGUAAAAUAAGAGAGAAUAGGCAUAAGUAUUGUGACAUAAUAUGUAAUAAUAGCCCAUAAUGCAAUAAAUAUUGAUAUAAAAGCAUGAUGCAAAAUGGACGUAUCAACUCCCCCAAGCUUAGACCUCGCUUGUCCUCAAGCGAAAAGCCGAAAUCGAAAAAUAUGUCAACAUGUUUAGAGAUGAAGGUGUCGAUAAAAAUAAAAUAUGGACAUGAGGGCAUCAUGAUCAUUCUUAGAGCAGCAACUUAUAUAAUUCUUGUCAUAUGAUAUCUUAUGCUAGAGUAAUAAUUCAGUCACAAUAUCAAGUAUGAAUCGUAAACUUCAUUGAAAACUAACAAACUAUAAUCUCAGUUAUUGAAGCAAUUGCAAUUUAUCAUAACAUAGGAAAGAGUCAAUGUAUAAGAGCUUUUCAGCAAGUCCACAUACUCAACUAUCAUAUAGUCUUUCACAAUUGCUCACACUCACGCAAUACUUAUGGGUAUGGAGUUUUAAUCGGACACAGAGAGAGAUAGGGGCUUAUAGUUUUUGCCUCCCAACGUUUUACCUCAAGAGUAAUGUCAACAGUAAUAGUUCAUGAAAACUCACAUCCAAUUAGCCAUAUAUACCAAGAUCUUUCCAACAUAUUGUGCUUGCCAAAGGAUAAAAUGUAAAAAGGAAGGGUGAAGAUCACCGUGACUCUUUUGCAAUAUAGGAGAUAAAAGUAAAGGAUAGGCCCUUCGCAGAGGGAAGCCGAGGUUUUCAUGCGCUUUUAUGGUUGGAUGCACAAAAUCCUAAUGCGAAAGAACGUCACUUUAUAUUGCCACUUGUGAUAUGGACCUUUAUUAUGCAGUCUGUCGCUUUUAUUACUUCCAUAUCACACGAUUGUAUAAAGCUUAUUUCUAUCACACCAAUCAAUCAUACAUAUUUAGAGAGCAAUUUUUAUUGCUUGCACCGAUGACAACUUACUUGAUGGGUCUUACUCAACCCAUAGGUAGGUAUGGUGGACUCUCAUGGCAAAACUAGUUUAAGGGUAUUUGGAAGCACAAGUAGUAUCUCUACUUGGUGCAAUGAAUUUGGCUAGCAUGAGGGAGAAAGGCAAGCUCAACGUGUUGGAGGAUCUAAGACAAUAUAAUUUAUCUCAGAUGUAAGAAAACAUAACCCAUUAUGUUGUCUUCCUUGUCCAAUGUCAACUCUUUAGCAUGUCAUAUUUUAAUGAGUGCUCACAAUCAUAAAAAGAUGUUUAAGAUAGUAUAUUUAUAUGUGAAGACCUCUCUUUCUUUAUUACUUCCUGUUAAUUGCAACGAUGACCAAAACUAUGUUUGUCAACCCUCAAUAACUUUUAUUCAUCAUACUCUUUCUAUGUGAGCUCAUUACUCUCCAUAAGGGUCACAUGAUCUCUUUGUUUCUUUUUAUUUCAUUUUCUUUUCCUUUAUUCACUUAGGAUCAUGGCAAAAAUAAUCAAGCCCUUGACUCAAAACUAAUCUUUAUUAUAUAGCUCACAGACUCGAUUACAUAGAAGGAUAAUAAAGCAAAACUCAUAACUAGAUCAUACUAAGAACUUUUAUUCUACUAGAUCAAGAUAUUACCAAAAGGAUCAAACUAAGAAAAAAUGGUAAAGAUAAAAGUGAUGGUGAUACGAUACCGGGGCACUCCCCCAAGCUUGGCAGUUGCCAAGUGGAGUGCCCAUACCAGAUACUCAAUUCUUCUUUGUUAGAGGAGACGAUGGUGAUUUUGUUGAUGGCGUAGGCUUGUCGUCCUUCCAAGGCAUAGGCUCACCAUCAUAGAAGGAUGACCGAGUCUCCGGGAUCCUCAAAUCUGCAGCCAAACUCAUCCUUUUGAAUCUAUAUUCAUACUCACAGUUUUGAUUUUGCAGGUCAUAGAUCUGAGCUUGAAGGUGCUCGAUUUUCUCGUGAAGCUUGAAGAUGGUCUCCCCAAUAUUGUCGGCAUCCAGCUUGUGUUUGUUGGUGAACUCUGCGAUCAUCAUGUAGUUGGAGUUGAGUCCACGCUCCACCAUCCCCUAACACUUGAAAACUUGUUGCUCCAUUGCUUCGAGCCUCGUCUCCACGCUUCCGUUCCCCUUCGGUCCCUCAGCAUCACGGAUGUGCAGCAACCCAUCACGCAUCUCAAUGGUUUGAGGGUGUCGCUGCACCUCCGCGAGGUAAGGGUUGAUGACCUUCUCGAAGAACUUGUCCUUGGGAGCACUUGGAGACGUCAUGAUAAUCUAGAUCUGUCAGAAAAACAGCUCGAAACAAAGACAUGGGAUUUUUGCGUGAUACGGGAGUCAAAACCCCCGGGAGGUUAUAUAAUGAUUUUUUACCGACAAAAAUACGUGUCCUGUAAGAAAACGGAGUCCGGAGAGCACACAAGGUGCCCACGAGGUAGGGGGCGCGCCCAGGGGGGUAGGGCGCGCCCUCCACCCUCGUGGAGCCCUCGUGUCCUUUCCGGACUGCUGCUUAUUUUUCUAUUUUUCUAAAUAUUCCAAAACGGAGAAAUAUUGCCUUAAAAACUUUGGAGUCGGUUUACUUACCGUACCACAUACCUAUUCCUUUUCAGAGUCUGAAACGUUCCAGAAAGUGUCCUUUAUGUAUUCCUCUGGGGUUACGAUUUCAAUAACAUUGGUUUCAGCAUUUAUGGGAUUACCUGAAAUAUAGUGUUUGAUUCUUUGACCGUUCACCACCUUCGGAUUUGUGCCUUCGAAGUUGUUGAUUUUUAUGGCACUGGAACGGUAGACCUCCUCGAUAACGUAAGGACCUUCCCAUUUGGAGAGAAGUUUUCCUGCAAAAAAUCUUAAACGAGAGUUGUAUAGCAGUACAUAAUCACCUACAUUAAACUCAUGCUUUUGUAUCCUUUUGUCAUGCCAUCUUUUAAAUUUUUCUUUAAAUAACUUGGCAUUUUCGUAGGCCUGGGUUCUCCAUUCAUCAAGUGAGCUAAUAUCAAAUAACCUCUUCUCACCGGCAAGUUUAAAAUCAUAAUUAAGUUCUUUAAUAGCCCAAUAAGCCUUGUGUUCUAGUUUGAGAGGUAAGUGACAUGCUUUUCCAUAGACCAUUUUAUACUUAGACAUACCCAUAGGAUUUUUAUAUGCAGUUCUAUAGGCCCAUAAUGCAUCAUCAAGUUUCUUGGACCAAUUCUUUCUGGACCUAUUAGCAGUCUUUUGCAAAAUUAAUUUGAGUUCUCUAUUACUCAAUUCUACUUGACCACUAGACUGAGGGUGAUAAGGAGAUGCAAUUAUAUGAUUAACAUCAUAUUUAGCAAGCAUUUUACGGAAAGCACCAUGAAUAAAAUGUGAACCACCAUCAGUCAUUAAAUAUCUAGGGACUCCAAACCUUGGAAAGAUAACUUCUUUAAGCAUUUUAAUAGAAGUGUUAUGAUCAGCACUACUAGUUGGAAUAGCUUCUGCCCACUUAGUAACGUAAUCAACAGCAACUAAAAUAUGUGUAUAACCAUUAGAGGAAGGAAAAGGUCCCAUAUAGUCAAAGCCCCAAACAUCAAAUGGUUCAAUAACAAGUGAAUAAUUCAUAGGCAUUUCUUGACGUCUACUAAUAUUACUAAUAUUACCAAUUCUUUGACAUUCAUCAUAAGAUAAGACAAACUUACGGGCAUCUUUGAAGAGAGUAGGCCAAAAAAACCAGAUUGCAGUACCUUAUGUGCAGUUCUAUCUCCAGCAUGGUGUCCUCCAUAAGCUUUGGAGUGACACUUUCAUAGGAUCUGUUCCUGUUCAUGCCCAGGUACACAAUGUCUAAUAACACCAUCUACUCCUUCUUUGUAAAGAUGUGGGUCAUCCCAAAAGUAAUGCCUCAAAUCAUAGAAGAACUUUUUCUUUUGCUGGUAUGUGAAAUUAGGUGGUAUAAACUUAGCAACAAUGUAAUUAGCAUAAUCAGCAUACCAUGGAGCAGUAUGAGAAGUAUUUAUGACAUUUAAUUGCUCAUCAGAAAAGCUAUCAGCAAUAGGCAGUGGGUCAUCAAGCACAUUUUCUAACCUAGACAAGUUGUCUGCAACGGGGUUCUCAGCUCCUUUUCUAUCAACAAUAUGUAAAUCAAAUUCUUGUAGCAAGAGAACCCAUCUAAUAAGUCUAGGUUUAGCAUCUUUCUUCUCCAUAAGAUAUUUAAUACUAGCAGCAUGAUCAGUGUGAAUAGUUACUUUAGAAUCAACAAUAUAAGGUCUAAACUUAUCACAAGCAAAUACAACUGCUAAGAAUUCUUUUUCAGUAGUAGCAUAAUUUCUUUGAGCAUUGUCUAGAGUUUUACUAGCAUAUUGGAUAAUAUUUAGUUUCUUAUCAACUCUUUGUCCUAGAAUAGCACCUACAGCAUAAUCACUAGCAUCACACAUAAUUUCAAAGGGUAAAUUCCAAUCAGGUGGCUGAACAAUAGGUGCAGAGAUCAAUGCUUUCUUAAGUAUUUCAAAUGCUUCUACACAAUCAUCAUCAAAGACAAAUGGUAUAUAUUUUUGUAAUAAAUUAGUCAGAGGCCGAGAGAUUUUUGAGAAGUCCUUAAUGAACCUCCUAUAAAAACCGGCAUGACCAAGGAAACUUCUUAUACCUUUGAUGUCCUUGGGACAUGGCAUCUUUUCAAUAGCAUCAACCUUGGCUUUAUCAACCUCAAUACCUCUUUCAGAAACUUUAUGCCCCAAGACAAUACCUUCAUUAACCAUAAAGUGGCACUUUUCCCAAUUCAAGACAAGAUUAGUUUCUUCACAUCUCUGUAAAACUCGAUCAAGGUUGCUCAAGCAAUCAUCAAAAGAAGAUCCAUAGACGGAAAAGUCGUCCAUGAAAACCUCACAGAUCUUUUCACAAAAGUCAGAGAAUAUAGUCAUCAUGCAUCUUUGAAAGGUAGCAGGUGCAUUACAUAAACCAAAAGGCAUACGUCUAUAAGCAAAAGUAUCAAAAGGGCACGUAAAAGUAGUCUUUGAUUGAUCUUUGGCUGACACAGGUAUCUGAGAGAAACCAGAAUAACCAUAUAGAAAGCAAAAAUGUGUAUGUUUGGAUAUUCUUUCUAGCAUUUGAUCGAUAAAAGGUAAGGGGUAAUGAUCUUUUUUAGUAGCCUUAUUUAAUUUGCGGAAAUCAAUUACUAUCCUAUAACCAGUAAUAAUUCUUUGAGGGAUCAAUUCAUCUUUAUCAUUAGGAACAACAGUAAUUCCUCCCUUCUUAGGGACACAAUGGAUAGGACUUACCCACUUACUAUCAGCAACGGGAUAAAUUAUACCUGCAUCAAGGAGCUUUAGUAUCUCCUUUCUUACCACUUCUUUCAUUUUAGGAUUCAGACGGCGUUGAUGAUCACGAACUGGUUUAGCAUCUUCUUCCAAAUUAAUUUUAUGUUGACAUAGAGUGGGACUAAUGCCCUUAAGAUCAUCAAGAGUAUACCCAAUAGCAGCGCGGUGCUUCUUCAGAAUUUUUAAUAAUCUCUCUUCUUCAUGUUCUGAAAGGUUAGCACUAAUAAUAACAGGAUAUAUCUUUUUCUCAUCAAGAUAGGCAUAUUAAGAGUAUCAGGUAACGGUUUAAGCUCAAACACAGGAUCACCCUUGGGUGGAGGAGGAUCACCUAGGAUUUCAACAGGUAAAUUGUUUUUCAGAAUAGGUUCCUGUUUAAAGAAUACUUCAUCUAAUUCCCUUCUUUCAUUCAUAAACAUAUCAUUUUCAUGGUCUAGCAAAUAUUGUUCUAAAGGAUCACUAGGAGGUACGACAAUAGAAGCAAGACCAAUAAUUUCAUCCUUACUAGGUAAUUCUUCUUCACGGUGUUGUCUACUAAAUUUAGAAAAAUUAAAUUCAUGAGUCAUAUCAUCUAAACCGACAGUAAUGACAUCCCUUUUGUAAUCUAUGGUAGCAUUAACAGUAUUUAAGAAGGGUCUACCAAAUAUAAUGGGACAAAAACUAUAUUGUGGGGAACCAAGAACAAGAAAAUCAGUAGGAUAUUUAGUUUUCCCACAUAAGACUUCAACAUCUCUAACAAUUCCCAUUGGUGUAAUAGUAUCUCUAUUGGCAAGUUUAAUUGUGACAUCAAUUUCUUCUAACUCAAUAGGUGCAAUGUCAUGCAUAAUUUCUUUGUAUAAGUCAAUAGGUAUUGCACUAGCACUAGAAUCCAUAUCACAUAAGCCAUGAUAGCAAUGAUCUCCUAUUUUAACAAAAAUAACAGGCAUGCCUACCACAGGUCUAGGUUUAUCUGUAUCACGGGGUUUAGCAAUUCUAGCAGUUUCAUUACAGAAAUAAAUAACAUGUCCAUCUAUAUUAUCAGACAAGAGAUCUUUAACAAUAGCAAUAUUAGGUUCAACUUUAACUUGCUCAGGAGGUGUAUAUGUUUUAAUAUUGCUUUUACAAACCACAGUUGAAGCUUUAGCAUGAUCCUUUAUCCUAACAGGGAAAGGUGGUUUCUCAACAUAAGAAGUAGGAACAAUAGGAUCAUUGUAAGUGAUAGUAUUUUCUUCAACUUUAAUAGGUGCAGCUACUUUUACGUCUAUGGGAGAAUGAUAUUUAAACCACUUCUCCUUGGGGAGAUCAACAUAAGCAGCAAAAGAUUCAUAGAAAGAAGCUACUAUCUCAGAGUCAAGUCCAUAUUCAGUGCUAAAUUUACGAAAAAUGUCGGUAUCCAUAAAAGAUUGAACACAAUCAAAACUAGGUGUCAUACCUGACUCCUUACCAUUGUCGAGGUCCCAAUCUUCGGAGUUGCGUUUAAUUCUUUCCAAUAAAUCCUAUUUGAAUUCAAUAGUCUUGAUCAUAAAAGAGCCAGCACAAGAAGUAUCAAGCAUGGUGCGAUUGUUACCAGAAAGUCGAGCAUAAAAUUUUUGAAUAAUCAUUUCUCUUGAGAGCUCAUGAUUGGGGCAUGAAUAUAACAUUGAUUUAAGCCUGCCCCAAGCUUGAGCGAUGCUUUCUCCUUCGCGAGGCCAAAAAUUAUAUAUAUAAUUGCGAUCACGAUGAACAAGAUGCAUAGGAUAAAACUUUUGAUGAAAUUCCAAUUUCAAUCGUUUGUAGUUCCAAGACUCCAUAUCAUCACAUAGCCUAUACCAUGUCGAUGCAUCUCCCCUCAAAGAUAAAGGGAAGACCUUGUUCUUAACAACAUCUUCGGGUACACCUGCAAGCUUAAAUAAUCCACAAACUUCAUCCACAUAUAUUAGAUGCUCAUCAGGAUGUUUUGUUCCAUCUCCUAAAAAGGAUUAGCUAGCUGUUUUUCUACCACACCCAAAGGAAUUUCAAAGCAAGCAUUUUCAUUUUCAGUAGGUUAAGUAGGUUGAGGAGAAACUCUUUGCUCUACUGGUCGGGGUGAAGAUACCCCGAACAAGCCCCUCAGAGGAUUACUUUCCAUAAUAACAAGUGACAGUAAAUUUCAGCACACUAUAUAAAUAUUUCCUUACCAAAUUCCACCUACCAAAGGCGCUUCACUCCCCGGCAACGGCGCCAGAAAAGAGUCUUGAUGACCCACAAGUAUAGGGGAUCUAUCAUAGUCCUUUCGAUAAGUAAGAGUGUCGAACCCAACGAGGAGCAGAAGGAAAUGAUAAGCAGUUUCCAGCAAGGUAUUCUCUGCAAGUACUGAAAUAAGUGGUAACCGAUAGUUUUGUGAUAGGAUAAUUUGUAACGAGCAACAAGUAACAAAAGUAAAUAAAGUGCAGCAAGGUGGCCCAAUCCUUUUUGUAGCAAAGGACAAGCCUGGACAAACUCUAAUAUGAUGUAAAGCGCUCCCGAGGAAACAUGGGAAUAUCGGCAAGCUAGUUUUCAUCACGCUCAUAUGAUUUACGUUUGGUACUUUGAUAAUUUGGUAUGUGGGUGGACCGGUGCUUGGGUGCUUCCCUUACUUGGACAAGCAUCCCACUUAUGAUUAACCUCUAUUGCAAGCAUCUGCAAAUACAACAAAAGUAUUAAGGUAAACCUAACCAUAGCAUGAAACAUAUGGAUCCAAAUAGGCCCUUACGAAGCAACGCAUAAACUAGGGUUUAAGCUUCUGUCACUUUAGCAACCCAUCAUCUACUUAUUACUUCCCAAUGCCUUCCUCUAGGCCCAAAUAAUGGUGAGUGUCAUGUAGUCGACGUUCACAUAACACCACUAGAGGAGAGACAACAUACAUCUCAUCAAAAUAUCGAACGAAUACCAAAUUCACAUGACUACUAAUAGCAAGACUUCUCCCAUGUCCUCAGGAACAAAAGUAACUACUCACAAAGCAUAAACAUGUUCAUAAUCAGAGGGGUAUUAAUGUGCAUAUAGGAUCUGAACAUAUGAUUUUCCACCAAUUAAACCAACUAGCAUCGACUACAAGGAGUAAUUAACACUACUAGCAACCUACUAGCACCAAUCCCGGACUUGGAGACAAGAAUUGGAUACAAGAGAUGAACUAGGGUUUUGAGAUGAGAUGGUGCUGAUGAAGAUGUUGAUGGAGAUUGCCCUCUCCCGAUGAGAGGAGCGUUGGUGAUGACGAUGGCGAUGAUUUCCCCCUCCGGGAGGGAAGUUUCCCUGGCAGAACAGCCCCGCCAGAACCCUAGAUUGGCUCCGCCAAGGUUCCACCUCGUGGCGGCGGAGUUUCGUCCGAGAAGAUGGCUUAUGAUUUUUUUCCCAUCGAAAGAGCCCAUAUAGCAGAAUAUGGUCACCGAAGGGCCACCAGGGGGCCCACGAGGUAGGGGCGCGCCCAAGGGGGUAGGGCGCGCCCCCCAUCCUCGUGGGCAGGGUGUGGCCCCCCUGGUGAAGUUCUUGCGCUCAAUGUUUUUUAUAUAUUUGGAAAACAUCAUCCGUGAAGUUUCAGGACUUUUGGAGCUGUGCAAAAUAGGUCUCUAAUAUUUGCUCCUUUUCCAGCCAGAAUCCCAGCUGCCGGCAUUCUCCCUCUUUAUGUAAACCUUGUAAAUAAGAGAGAAUAGACAUAAGUAUUGUGACAUAAUGUGUAAUAACAGCCCAUAAUGCAAUAAAUAUUGAUAUAAAAGCAUGAUGCAAAAUGGACGUAUCACGGAGCCAUAUUCCGUUGCGGUGAAGCUUCGUGGUGUCGUUGGGAGCCUCCAAUUAAGUUGUGGAGAUUGCCCCAACCUUGUUUGUAAAGGUUCAGUCGCGGCCUCCAAGGGCACCAAUAGUGGAAUCACGACAUCUCGCAUUGUGUGAGGGCGUGAGGAGAAUACGGUGGCCCUAGUGGUUUCUUGGGGAGCAUUGUGCCUCCACACCGCUUCAACGGAGAUGUACUUUCUCUCAAAGGGAAGGAACUUCGGUAACACACCCGCGUAUCCACCGGCUCCACUCUUGGUUAUCUCUUACCUUUACUUGUGCAAACUUAUGUUGUGGUGUAUCCCUUGCUUGCUUGUGUGCUUGUUGUUGUUGCAUCAUAUAGGUUGCUCACCUAGUUGCACAUCUAGAGAACCUACUUUGAUGCAAAGUUUAAUUUGGUAAAGAAAAGCUAAAAAUUGUUACUUGCCUAUUCACCCCCCCCCCCUAGUCAACUAUAUCGAUCCUUUCAGACUAGUUAUCAUAAGUACACCAUUUGUAAUACAAAUUAAACAUGGCAUGCCAUAUUUAACGGCUCAUGCAGUGAGCCAGUGAUAAUCUUAGCAUCCCUUUAUAUUCAAUCAUUUUUCCUACCGCCCCCUUGUCGGUGUCAAAACCGGCGGAUCUCGGGUAGGGGGUCCCAAACUGUGUGUCUAAGGCGGAUGGUAACAGGAGGCAGGGGACACGACGUUUACCCAGGUUCGGGCCCUCUCGAUGGAGGUAAUAACCUACUUCCUGCUUGAUUGAUCUUGAUGAUAUGAGUAUUACAAGAGUUGAUCUACCACGAGAUCGUAGAGGCUAAACCCUAGAAGCUAGCCUAUGAUUAUGACUGUUGUUAUCCUUCGGACUAAACCCUCCGGUUUAUAUAGACACCGGAGAGGGCUAGGGUUACACAGAGUCGGUUACAAGGGAGGAGAUCUACAUAUCCGAAUUGCCAAGCUUGCCUUCCACGCAAAAGAGAGUCCCACCCGGACACGGGACAAAGUCUUCAAUCUUGUAUCUUCAUAAUCCAACAGUCCGGCUGUCCGAGGACCCCCUAAUCCAGGACUCCCUCAGUAGCCCCUGAACCAGGCUUCAAUGACGAUGAGUCCGGCGCACAGAUUGUCUUCGGCAUUGCAAGGCGGGUUCCUUCUCUGAAUACUCCAUAGAAGAUUUUGAACACAAGGAUCGUGUCCGGAUCUGCAAAACAAAUUCCACAUACCACCGUAGAGAGUAUAAUAUUUCCACAAAUCUAAUCUGCUGACAACUUUUCAUAACGUGACAUCACGCCAUGGCCCGGUCAUUAUUCGAACCAUUUUUCUCAACCAGCUACUUCACAUAUUGCGAGGCGAUUUUCUUGGCACGUCUUGUCGAAGCAGAGAUCGUGUCCCCCUAUCACGGGAUUCUCAUCAAUACGGGUGUGGGUAACCCAACCGCGCCAUCAAUCACGGCACUUGGGGAAUAAGCAAGUUUACCAGGCAGGUGGGGAGGCGCAUAGUUUCUUCCGCCCUUAUAAAGGGACAAGGACUCCUCCUUUUCACCCAUGCCUUCUUCUUCCCUGCCCAUCCAUUCUCGCGCACUCAAGCUCCAGCGCCCAAGUUCACAUUUCCUCCGCAAAACCACUCCAAACAUGUCCGGAGCGGGAGGCAAGUGGAUGGUCUCCUCUGUUACGGAGGAGAACAUUAUGAAGCUCCGGGAAGCCGGAUACCUGGCCGCAAAUAUCACGCAGCUGCUCCCAGACGCGGGGCAGAUCGUCCCUACCCCCGAACCCCACGAAAGGGUUGUAUUCCUUACCCAUUUCGUCUGCGGGCUGGGAUUUCCCCUCCAUCCAUUUGUCCGUGGGCUCAUGUUCUACUACGGGCUGGACUUCCACGAUCUGGACCCCAAUUUCAUCCUCAACAUAUCGGCGUUUAUCGUCGUGUGUGAGGCCUUCCUCCGCAUCAAGCCCCACUUCGGCCUAUGGCUGAAGACCUUCAACGUUAAACCGAAGGUGGUGGUCGGCCAGCAAACGGAGUGCGGAGGCGCCAUGGUGGGCAAAAUGCCCAAUGUCACCUGGCUCGAAGGCUCCUAUGUGGAGACCGUGAAGGGGUGGCAAUCGGGAUGGUUCUACAUCACCGAGCCACGUGACACCAACUGGGUGGCGGCCCCCGAAUUUUGAUCCGGCAUCCCCACGCGGCUCACCUCCUGAAAAGAGAAGGGCCUAUCCUGGGGUUCAUCGGUGGAGCUGACUGGACUCCAGAACUAUGUUAAAAACAUGAUAAGCAAGAAAAUCAAGCUUGUCAACGUGGUCCAAGUCAUGCUCUUCCACCAGAUCCUCCCGUGUCAAAGAUGGGCCUUCAAUAUGUGGGAGUUCGACCCGGCAAAGCACCAGACGCUGCGAGAGCUCUUCGACACGACACACCAGGACAUCUGGAGGGUGUUGUUCAAGUCCGCCGAGGUGCCUCCUCCCUUUACCGAGGAUCACGGACUCAGUGCAAAGUGCCCUGCCAAUCCGGUAAGCUCCUUAUAUCUCAUAAGAUGUUUCUUUCCCCAGUAUAAUCAUGUGGUGGAUCUAAGCCUCCACGCCAUUUAACAGGAAUGGGUCGCGACAGCGGAGCGGAUCGAUUGUCUGGCCCCACUGCCCGAGGAUCCAGCAGGGGCUCUCUUAAUGGAGAUGCUAGUUCCGGCGCCCUAUGAGGCGCCGGAGAAGAAGGCCAAGAAGAAGGCCGCGGGGACCAGGAAAGGUCUCUGGCGCAAGGUCGUAUCGGACUCAUUGGCCGAUAACAAUGAGGCUCCCUCCUCCCACGAAAACGAGGAGGAGGAAGAGGAAAGUUCUCCCCUCUUGGCCGGGGGAGACAAGAAAAGGAAGGCCGCCCCGUCAGGGGAGGCCGAAGGGUCCAAGAAGGGAAGGACUCUUCUUCCGGACUGCUCCACGGCGGCCGCUUUUAGCGAUGAGGAGUGGUUACCCAGGGAUAAGCCCCUGGCGAAGUCGUAAGUAUCCGGAUAUCAUAGUAGUUCUUGGUAUGUUUUAUUUUAUUGCUUCUUAUCAUGCCAAACAUGAUCAUGCAGCCCAUCCAAAGCCCAUAUCGGCAUAUCCUCAUUGGAUGAGUCUUUGGGCCCGUCGGAGAUGAACAACGAUUCACUCCCGACCGCCUCCUCCCCCCGCCCUACGGACGAUGUCAAGGUGUUGUCUCAGAGGGUGCUGAACCAAGGGGAGACAGUUCCAGAGGCGCCCCAACGCAACAUUUCGGACACUGGGCGCACGAGGGGCAAGACUCCCAUGGGCUCUAAUGCCGGGGGCAGCAAGUCUAAGAGAGACAAGAUGUUUGUGCCGAUGGCCCCUGUCCAUCCAGAGGCAUCGGACAAUUUGCUGGAAGCGCUUCGCGGCGCUUCCAUUAACGAAGAGCACCGCACUAUCAUGAGUGCGGUGGUCAAGAAGGUUCGGUCCACCAAAAGCGGACUGACUGAAGCCUGUGCCAGCCUCCUAACAUGCUUUGAGGUAAGUAAUCAAAUUAUGAGAAAAUGUUACAGCAUAGACAGUAGCCCCUGAUGCUCUGUUUGGUGUUCGGAAGAAAGGCCGAACAGAGGAUCAAAUAAUACUCACAGGAGUCUAAUCAGAAUAUGUCUAUAUGAAUAAGCAGGCUUCACUGCUGGUCGCUGCCGCUCACAUGACGGAGGUCUCCGCACUGAAGCGGGACCUUGAGCGGUCCGAGGAAGAGCUCGGACUUACCAAGAGGCAGCUCGAAGAGAACAAAGGUAAGUGAUACCUCGUCUGUUUAUUGAUAAAGAAAAAGGAAACUGGUUGUUAGAUCACAGGAUCGUCAUGAAUUUUUCUAGGGGCCACGACCGAAGUGGCGACCCUGAAGAAGGCACUGUCCGAGGCCGAAGGCAAAGCGGCCAAGGAGCGCGCCGAGCACGAGAAGCAAGAGGCCUAAGUCGGCGAGGUUCAGCAAGAGCUCCAGGAGUUUGUCAAGAAGUACGAGUCCUUGGAGCGUGACUCUAGGACGCAAGGGUCCGAGCUUGCGAAGGCCCUCGAGAACACACAAAAUGCCAAGUCCGAAGCCCAAAAGGCCCUCCAGGAAAUUGAGGCGGUCAGGAAGAUAGCGGCGGGUAAGGCAUUCUUUAUGCAAAGCAAGCAUGUGAAGGAAACUUUCCUUUUACUUACCUGAAUUCGAAGCUCUCCAGGAGUGUUCGCAGAUCUACCCAGCAGUGUGUCGGAUGCCGCGGAGUUCUACCGGGCCGAGGGAGGGAGCUCGACGGAGAAGUUGUUCUGGUCUCAGUAUACUGGGACUGAACAUCCGAUGCCCUUGAGCGACCAGUUGAAGCAACUGGUCGAGCUUCACAAGGCAGCCGAACUGGCCAUGAAGGGCCUCAUAGUCCGGAUGUGGCCCGGUGAGCCCCUGCCCGGUAGCUAUUUCGGCCUGGUAAGGCGGCUUGUGAACGCUUGCCCCUGGCUUGAAGUCAUAAAGCGGUCCGUCUGCAUUGAGGGUGCGUGCAGGGCUUUUGCCCGGGCGAAAGUGCACUGGGCGAAGAUGGACGCCAAAAAGCUGGUGAAGGAGGGGCCGCCAAAGGGCAAGGACGAUCACCACCCUGAAAAGUAUUAUGACAGUGUCCUGAAGGGUGCUCGCCUUGUGGCAGAGGAAUGUGCUAAGGAUGUGAUAUUUGAAUGAAUGUACUCAUGUGAUCCUAUAAUGUGAAACGAGUUCAUGUGCGCUAUGUAAUGCUUGUUAAUUUAAAAUAUUACCUUCUGUGCGGCCGUUUAUAAAAUUUGAGAGUUGGCUAGUCAUCGGCUUCUGCCCCCAUGUAACUAGUACUGAGGUAUUCGGGAUAAACCUGAUCACUCUUUAUCCCAGUUUUGGGUCCUUCGAAGGAGGUGUUUAACACAACGAACCAGGCAAUCGGACUAUAAAGCUUUAUCACUCUCACUUAGCCAUAAAAGUCUACAAUUUUAAAUUUUGGCGCAGCCCCUAGUAUUCGGAAGGCCGAACUUGGGGCGCUAUGUAUGCCUAAAUCGGACAAGGCCGACUCCUCACCCGAAGCGGAAAAAAUCUUUAAGGAUUUGAGACCUCUCGAACAGCGACCAGCUCUCACCGCAUCAUCACAGUUAGUUUUUGGCUUUCUCUAUUGAGGUGCUCGUCCGAAAGAAUCGGGACAUAAUCACAGUAGUUCUCCCAGUGCUACCUUAGACGAUAUAGCAGAACGUAAGGUACCAAAACAUGGGAACCGGGCAAACCCAACUAUUGACCCAAGACAUGAUUCGGAGCUGAUGUAUAUAAUGCUAUAAGUUCGGGGUGCCGCACUGUCGAAAGUGUUCGGACUUUUCAUGCCGUGUUAUGGGGUAAACUGAAGCCCCUGGCGCACUGGUCGUAUCAGAAUGUACAGGUGCGAUUUGUCGUAAAUAAGCAGACAGGAAAAAAAGGAUAAAGGAAUGCAAUAAUGAGCUAAUGUUGUACAUUGUUAUUUAAAUGAUACAUCAAAGCGUAUGCAUACAUGUAGUGCAAUAAGUAAAAGAUAGGACUAUUUGACAUGUCCUAUCCAAGGUCAAGCUGCGUAUGCAAAACAGGUAUAUCGAUCGUUAUCAGUGACCACCUGAGGAUUCCCUUGUACGUCAUAGCUUCUUGCUUCCUUGGUGUUUCCUUCCCAUGACAGGUCCGAUAAUCAGAUGAUCGGAGAGGGCCUUCAGAGAAUAGGGGCCUGAAAGGAAGAAAAUGUUAAAGGUAUAUGGGUCCUGAAGCGGUUGCGCCGCAUUGUGCUCCGUGCCAUGGCCGUGCCUACGCCUAUGCCCAUGGUAUCUUGAGUGCGUAAUUAUGUACACGCGGCGCAAAUUUCGCCGCUUGACAGGGACUAGGACGGAGGCCGAAUUGCUAGGCGAGCUCUAAACGUGCCUGGCGAUCCUCUUGCAGGCUACUCCACACUCGCUUGAAGGUGUCUGGGGUCUUUUUCGCCGAAUUGGCGGUUUGCCUCAUAAGGCUGCUUUGCGCUUCUGCUGCGUGGGCCGCAGUGUGUUCCUCCGUGCGGAGCGAGUGUUCUGUGUUUCCAUUAACUGUUAUAACCCCGCGAGGUCCUGGCAUUUUGAGCUUGAGGUAUGCAUAAUGUGGUACCGCAUUGAAUCUGGCAAAUGCGGUUCGUCCGAGCAGUGCGUGAUAGCCACCGCGGAAGGGGACGAUAUUGAAGAUUAACUCCUCGCUUCGGAAGUUUUCUGGUGACCCGAAGACCACUUCUAGUGUGAUUGAGCCCGUGCAACAGGCCUCUACACCUGGGAUGACACCUUUAAAGGUGGUUUUGGUGGGUUUGAUCCUCGAGGGGUCUAUGCCCAUUUUACGCACUGUAUCCUGAUAGAGCAUGUUCAGACUUCUGCCACCGUCCAUAAGGACUCGAGUGAGGUGAAAUCCGUCAAUGAUGGGGUUAAGGACCAAUGCGGCAGAACCACCAUGGCGGAUACUGGUGAGGUGGUCCCUGCGAUCGAAGGUGAUCGGACAAGAAGACCAUGGGUUGAACUUUGGGGCGACUAGCUCCAUCGCAUAGACGUCCCUCAGUGCACGCUUCCGUUCCAGCUUGUGAAUAUUGGUUGCGUAUAUCAUGUUUACCGUUUUCACUUGGGGAGGAAAUUUCUUCUGUCCUCCUGUGUUCGGCGGCCGGGGCUCCUCCUCGUUGUUGCUAUGCAGCCCCUUUUCCUUGUUUUCGGAAUUUAACUUGCCGGCCUGUUUGAACACCCAACAUUCUCUGUUGGUGUGGUUGGAUGGUUUAUCGGGGGUGCCGUGAAUUUUACACGAACGAUCGAGUAUGCGGUCCAAGCUGGACGGGCCCGGAUUGCUUCUUUUGAACGGCUUUUUCCGCUGACCAGAUUUAGAGCCACUGAAUCCGGCAUUGUCGCCGUUGUUGCGGCGCUUGUGUCUGUUGCGACGUGGCCUGCCGUUGUUAUCUUUGGCAUCUGAAUUGCCAGGGUUUCUUGAUGUGUUGUUGCUGUGAGCCAGCCAGCUAUCCUCGCCCGCACAAAAGCGGGUCAUGAGUGUCGUGAGGGCUGCCAUAGACUUUGGCUUUUCUUGGCCGAGGUGUCGGGCGAGCCACUCGUCGCGGAUGUUAUGCUUAAAUGCCGCUAACGCCUCGGCAUCCGGACAGUCGAUGAUUUGGUUCUUUUUAAUUAGGAACCGAGUCCAGAAUUUCCUAGCUGAUUCCCCUGGCUGUUGGGUUAUGUGACUCAAGUCAUCGGCAUCCGGUGGUCGCACAUAAGUGCCCUGAAAGUUAUCAAGGAAUGCAUCUUCCAAGUUCUCCCAACUGCCAAUAGAGUUUGCCGGCAAGCUAUUGAGCCAAUGCCGAGCAGGUCCUUUGAGUUUUAAUGGAGGUACUUGAUGGCAUGUAGAUCGUCACCGCGGGCCAUGUGGAUGUGGAGGAGGAAAUCUUCGAUCCAUACCGCGGGGUCUGUUGUGCCAUCAUAUGAUUCAAUAUUCAUGGGUUUAAAACCUUCUGGGAAUUCGUGAUCCAUUACUUCAUCAGUGAAGCAUAGGGGGUUUGCGGCGCCUCUGUGCCGGGCUAUAUCACGAAGCAGUUCAUACGAAUCUUGUCUGCUAUAUUCGGCCCGGCCGGAUUUGCUUUUAGUAUAUCCGGCGUGACGGUCGUCGUCACUCGUUGGGGCGCGCCCCCGUGAUCCGUAGAUCGAUCUUGUAUGUCCUGCUUUGUUUUCCAAUACGUCUCGUAGGUCCUGCGUGUUGCCCCGGGCCUUGGUGUUUUUGUUUGACUGGCGAUGGGGUGUGGGGUGGACUUCAGGCUGAUACGCUGCUUUGUCUCAGCCACGAGGUGGACGGUCAGCUGCAUCAUAUGCUGGUAGUGUAGGCUUUAAUGCUUCCUCCUCGAGUUGGAGUAGCAACCUGCGCUUUGGGUAACUUUUGGUUGGGCGCUCGGGUUCGUAUUCCUCGGUUGCCAGCACCUCGGUCCAUCUAUCCGCUAGUAGAUCUUGAUCAGCUUGAAGCUGCUGUUGCUUUUUCUUCAGGCUUUUUGCUGUGGCUAUAAGUCGGCGCUUGAAGCGCUCCUGCUCGACGGGAUCCUCAGGCACGAUAUAUUCUUCGUCGCCGAGGCUCACCUCGUCAUCGGAGAGAGGCAUGUAAUUAUCAUUCUCUGAUUCUUUGUCUGCCGCCUGUUCCUUAGGGCUAGCUUGCCCAUCCUCCCGCUCGAAGCUUGGUUGGAGGGGAUUGUCUUCGGCACUGUCCGCAACGUUAUUGUCUCUUGUGCCGGUAUCGCUGCUUUUGCUAUGGCGGGGCUUAGAGCGGCGCCGAUGACGCUGGUGCUUAGAUUGCUUCUCGAGGGGAUUAUCCUCCGUUGCCUUAUUGCCAUCGCUUUCUUUGGGGGUGUCGACCAUAUAUAUAUCAUAUGAUGAGGUGGUUGUCCAGCGCCCUGUGGGCGGUGGUUCCUGUUCUUCUCCUGCAUCAUCGUCCAUACCGUCGAUGUCUUCGGAGUCGAAAUCAAGCAUGUCGGUUAAGUCGUCGACAGUGGCUAUUAAGUGUGUGGUGGGUGGGGAAUGAAUCUCUUUGUCGUCCGCUUCCCACUCAAGCCGGACAUAGUUCAGCCAAGGGUCUCCUGACAAGGAGAGAGACCUCAAUGAAUUUAGCACGUCGCCCAAGGGCGAGUGCUGAAAGAUAUCCGCGGAGGUAAACUCCAUGAUCGGUGCCCAAUUAGAUUCGAUAGGCACGGACGUAGGCGGUUCAGAGCCUGUGGCCGGGGACGAAUCCAAGGGUCUGGCAACACGGGUCUCGUAGGAGGUGAAGUCAGUAUUCGGCUCUAUUGCCGCUGAGUGUGUGGCCUCCAUGGCGGGGUCCAUCCACCCAUCCUCGGACGGCACGAUCUGCUCCAGAUUGAGGGCCAGAGUAGCCACAGGUGUGAUCUCCCGAACACCGUCCGACGGCAGAGCUAAGUCACGCUCGUCGUGACUGUGCGACGCACCUGACAUGGGCUCGAAUCCGUCGAAGAUCAAGUCUCCGCGGAUGACGGCAGUAUAGUUCAAGCUUCCAAACCUGACCUGAUGGCCAGGGGCGUAGCUCUCGAUCUGCUCCAGAUGGCCAAGCGAGUUGGCCCGCAGUACGAAGCCGCCAAACACGAAGAUCUGUCCCGGGAGAAAAACCUCACCCUGGAUCGCAUCGUUGCCGAUGAUCAAAGGAGCCAUCAAAUCUUACGGUGACGACACAAUGGAACUCUCAAUGAAAGCACCAAUGUCGGUGUCAAACCGGCGGAUCUCGGGUAGGGGGUCCCGAACAGUGCGUCUAAGGCGGAUGGUAACAGGAGGCAGGGGACACAACGUUUACCCAAGUUCGGGCCCUCUUGAUGGAGGUAAUACCCUACUUCCUGCUUGAUUAAUCUUGAUGAUAUGAGUAUUACAAGAGUUGAUCUACCACGAGAUUGUAGAGGCUAAACCCUAGAAGCUAGCCUAUGAUUAUGAUUGUUGUUGUCCUACGGACUAAACCCUCCGGUUUAUAUAGACACCGGAGGGGGCUAGGGUUACACAGAGUCGGUUACAAGGGAGGAGAUCUACAUAUCCGAAUUGCCAAGCUUGCCUUCCACGCAAAGGAGAGUCCCACCCGGACACUGGACGAAGUCUUCAAUCUUGUAUCUUCAUAAUCCAACAGUCCGACUGAAGGAUAUAGUCCGGAUGUCCGAGGACCCCCUAAUCCAGGACUCUCUCACCCUCCAUCCUCCACUUUAAAGCCUAUGGUUGUUGCGUCGAGCCUAGCGAUUAGUGUCGGUCGUCCCAUGAUGCCUCCCGUCGCUCCUCUACCUCCCACCAGACCCUCCAAUCGCUCCAUCUACUCCCUCCUCUCCAUCCUGAUGGGUCGGCCUAGAUCAUCUUCACACCUACGCUGUAUUCCUAACUCUACGGCACCCUCCCGCCGUAUGUGACAUCGUCGACGAUGCCAAGGUCGGCCAACCCUCACAACCCCACCUACCCAUGGUGGUCGUGGUCUUGUAUUGUUGGGUCGUCGACGUUGGUGUGCGAUGUCGUAGUUCUAGCAUUUCCACCAACAUCUUUGGUCACGGCAGUGGCCACACUGGUGAGCUCCUUUCCCUCUUGUUGAUGAGAAAUAUAUUAUAGUUUUGUUCCAAACAUAAUCUUGUAUGUCAUGUUUGUUAGGAGUUUGCUAUAGUAUUAUGGUAUGAGAGUAGUAUAAAUAGUUUGUUAGGGAAGUUUGAAGUAGUAUGUUAGGAUAUACUCCCUCGGUCCUCAAAUAAGUGGAUGUUUAGCAUUUCAAAUUUGUCCACAAAAGAGUGUAUUUAUUUCUUCUCAAUGCAUUUUAAAGUAGAAAAAAAUGUUUCUUUCUCAUCACACAGAAAUCAAGACCAAUAGCAUUCAAUACAUGGUCCACUUAUUUGAGGACAGAGGGAGUAUGUUGUAGCGACAUAUACAGAUCUAUAGAAAGUUGUGAUCUAUUAUGAUUAGAAAGUAAGACAAUGCUAGUGUGCAAAGUAAAUAGUAAUGCAUGGAUAUGUUUCAUUCCCACAUUUCAUGUGUAUGCAUGUUAUUUCUCAUUUGCCAUUAACUUAGCAAAGCCUAUAUAUGUAUGAUAUUAUAUACAGAAAAUUAAUAUAUUGUUUAUUUUAUAUGGACAACGGACAGACACAAAUAGUUGCAGUUGUGACCUUUUAGUGUACUGCAUAAUACACAUUUUCUGUAAGAGUGUUUUGUGCAAUGCACCUAAAAUGAUACAUUGGUGAUGUUACUCUAUUUUAGAUGCACUACACAAAAUAAGGUAGUUGUAUGUAUCAUUUCGACCGCUAAUCUGAAAAAUCGAGGGGCAUUUCCAGUGUGUUGAAGGACUCAUUCAAAUGUCAGAUUAGCACUUGCGGUAUUGCUGAUUCUUCGACAAGACUCAUCUACUCGUAGAUCAAUACAUUAACACUUACUUGAAUUUAUAGCCCUAAACAUUUGGACAUGUAUGUGUGAAAUGAAAUGCAAUUUCGUUGUAUGUGCCUAUGUAUUGUGCAUGUGUAUAACUUUCUACCUUAGUGCAUCUUGGGGCUUCACCACUAGCAGAUUGCUAAUCGUGGAGACCCAAUUUGCUUAAGCCAAAUUUCAUUAUCAAGGAUCUUGGGGCUUUUAGAAUGUCAAAAUAAUGGAGGAGUGAGAGUGGACUAGUCUAGUUCGCAGUUAGGAAGAAGGAUCCUUUACAAGAUACCUCCAAAAUCUGACCUUUAUGUCGCAUAAUGUACAGCCUGGAGGGUCCGAGCUGACCUAGAGGUUCAGGAGCAAGCUUUGGGAGAGGUUUCGGGCAAGUCUAGAGUGAUUCUGGACAGGUCCGGAGGCCCAUCCAGCAGUCUACCUGGAGGUGUCGGGCUGCACUACGUCCAAAUUCUAGGCGACAUCAAAUGUGUACUGACCUCAGCCGGAGGCUCCGGGCUAGGUUGGGGGGCAACUAGAGGCAGCACACAUAGAGUUUUAGAGGGGCUCUCUCAUGCUUUUGCAUAGGUUUUGGGGUGAUAUGUUUUGCAUAAGUAUUGUUGAUUCCCAAGAUCAUCCAAAGCAUCCCAUGUAUGUUUUUCUUCCAUUGCACUAAACCGUUGUGUAUACACCUAAGCACAUGGUUAGACUACUAACCAUCUUGUCAUUAACACAAAAACUCUCAAGGGGGGCAUAUAUGUCCUUACAGAUAGAAAGUCACUGGAGUGAGAGGAAGAGGCUCCAUGCAGUGUGCAGGUCAAAAAAAUGUAUUGUGUUAUGAAGCGAAGCCAGGUCUAGAGCACGGUGGUCGCCAAGGAAGAUGGUCAUGAAUGCACUACCGACAGUUGUGACAUGAGAUAACAAUCAUGCCAGCACGUCCUAAAGUUGAAGUAGAUGUUAUGUGUACUGUUUGGGGGCCAAGAAAGCACAUGCGGCAAAAUGGGAAGAAGCAUAGGAAAAUUGUCAAAGAAACAAAGGUAAAGAAAGAUGUUGAAUAUUGUUGAAUGAAACCAUCAUGAGGUAAUGAGAAAUUAGAAGAUGUUGAACACUAUACCAAUGUGAUGACAAUCAUGCUAGGAAGUCAUCGGAGUUGGACAAAGAUAGCAGAGCAUGUUGGUCAUCAAGAGAGGAAGGUGCAUGAAGAUCACAAUAUUUCGCAUGACAAUAUCUGAAGCCACAUCCAUGCCUUACUUGACAAGUAUAUUCGUGUGAUGCAAGCUUCUUUAUCCCGUGUAUGACCAUUUUGUUGUUCCAUAGCGACAUGCGGGUAUCUUGCUAAUCACAAUAACCAAUAUGCAUGGUCGCAAUGAAAAGUAUAAAACCAUGCAACGAUGGAAAACUUAUAAUGAGCUUAUGCAACAAAAAUCAUAGGUGAUACCAACAAGAUCGGACUAUCAACAUAGCAAAAAGAAAGUUCAUUGUGGCAAAUCAAAGAUGUACUCCCACAACAUCAACAAAUGCAAGAAAAAUCUUGCAUGGCUGUAACAAUUAAAUUACAUGUGCAACAACUAUGAAUCACCAUGUGUUCAAACAUCACUGGCACAAAAUAAACCCUAAAAAUUGAUGGGUAAAAAAAUGCUCAUACAUAAUAUCAUUGUCCACUCGGCUCAACACAGAAUUCCAAGGGAGUCAUGUGUCAACCACUUUCCUAACGGCCUAAACAUCUUGGCUGAGCCAUCACAAUCAAGAGCUUGAACCAUAUGGGUUGUCGAGGGGAGACUUGGCGGCAGGAAAGGAAGGCAAAUAUUUUCAGCAUGCGUUUUGGUGUGAACGCACUAUGAACAUGUCGAUUAGUCAUAUCUCCUACAUUCCUGACCGCGGCUCGUGCAGAGAUUUUGUUUCUUUGACUUUAUAAGAACUUAGUUGUAGUUUUCUUGUUUUUUAAGAUGUAUUGUACCAUUAGAAGUUUGACAGUAUCAAUCCAGGGCCUCAUUCGAAAAUCCCCCAAAAAAAAAACCUCUUGUAUGUGCAUCGUCCAGCAAAGACUACCAUUCUCCUGCGACGAAAAGUUUUGGAGUGAAUUUUGUAUUUCAUUUCAAAAACCGCCUAAAUCACCAUUCUACAAACCUAUACGUUGAUAAUGUGCUACUACCUCCAUUUCUAAAUAUAGGUCUUUUUAGAUAUUUUCCUAAGGACUACAUACGGAUGUAUAUAGACAUAUUUUAGAUUGUAGAUUCCCUCAUUUUGCUCCGUACAAGUCCAUAUUGAAAUCUCUAAAUGGGCAUAUACUUAGGAACAAGUCCAUAUUGAAAUCUCUAAAUGGGCGUAUACUUAGGAACGGAGGCAGUACUUUGGAAAUCCAAAGAGAUGCGGCUUUGCUUGAAAUGUUGUUCUCAAAUGGUUUAUCCUCGGGUGUAAGUUUUAAACUAUUGCUACUGGGAUGUUUUUACAACAGUUUAUCCCAGUUGAAAACCACAUACAGUCAGACACCCGCAAAAAAGAACAUUCUAGAUUGUGGCCAUAUACAAUGUCAGACAGUUUCAGUAAGGUGCUUGAAAUGACAGUUGGAUUACAAAAGGGAUAUUUGAAUGGAAAUCAAUAGUGAAGAAUUUCUCAACAACACAGUAGACUGUAAGGCUAACUAGAUUGUUACAGAACAGCUCCACGCACCAUUGAAGUCCCUUCCGUUUCUGCAUUUGCAGAAGAAUGGUGACAUACAUUUGUACAACCAGGGCCUGUUCCAUCUCUUCUUUUGCAAAGAGAUUUCAUGCUAAGCCCGUCCCUGAAUGGAGACAAUGAAGAUCCCCUUCACGGCCCACCAAAGGCAAAAAGAAAGAAAACUAAAAUCUAUAACCUGGAAUAAAAUUGCAACAUAACGUGUCAGACAAGCAGUGUCCCCAAGCAACUAAACAGUGGUUUCUUCAGACGAAGUGGAUUGAAAGAUGUACCAUUAAAAUUGUCAGGAAUUAUCCCUCGUCUGGAAACCAUUGUACUGUUAAUCUGCCAUGAUAACACAGCUUGAGCAUGAAACCAGGAACGUGCAGAAAACAGAUGCAGUGGGGGCUGCUAUCAUUUCAUUCUUAUCAUAAAAAAAGUGUGAGGAGUACCGCAGAUGAGGCUCAGUAUGGUCGAGACACAAAGCUUCUGCGGCCCUUCAUCUAUGGAAUCUAUCAUUAUUGUGUCUUCCGUGCCUCCUCCAACCUGAUUUUGCAAUGAAGAUUAACACAUUCGUCUUGCAAUGUUGCUACAACC
rnacentral:lncRNA from 1 species